rnacentral:sRNA from 1 species
CUUGGUCAUUUAGAGGAAGUAAAAGUCGUAACAAGGUCUCCGUUGGUGAACCAGCGGAGGGAUCAUUACAGAGUUGCAAAACUCCCAACCCUCUGUGAACGUACCUACAAGUUGCUUCGGCGGAAGGCCCUUUAGGGGGCUGCCCGCCGAAGGCCUACAAACACCUGUAUUUUUGGCAUCUCUGAGUUACCUAUAAAAUAAGUUAAAACUUUCAACAACGGAUCUCUUGGUUCUGGCAUCGAUGAAGAACGCAGCGAAAUGCGAUACGUAAUGUGAAUUGCAGAAUUCAGUGAAUCAUCGAAUCUUUGAACGCACAUUGCGCCCGCCAGUAUUCUGGCGGGCAUGCCUGUUCGAGCGUCAUUUCAACCAUCAAGCUUCAGGCUUGUGUUGGAGCCCUGCGGCUGCCCGCAGCCUCCUAAAACCAGUGGCGGGCUCGCUAUUACACCGAGUGCAGUAGUUUUCUCUUCGCUCUGGAUGUAUAGCGGGUUCCGGCCGUGAAACCCCUCAAAUUUUCAAGGUUGACCUCGGAUCAGGUAGGAAUACCCGCUGAACUUAAGCAUAUCAAUAAGCGGAGGAAAAGAAACCAACAGGGAUUGCCCUAGUAACGGCGAGUGAAGCGGCAACAGCUCAAAUUUGAAAUCUGGCUCCGGCCCGAGUUGUAAUUUGCAGAGGAAGCUUCUGGUGAUACACUGUCUAAGUCCCCUGGAACGGGGCGCCACAGUGGGUGAGAGCCCCAUUUGACAGCUGUAGAUCCUGUGUGAAACUCCUUCGACGAGUCGAGUUGUUUGGGAAU